rnacentral:ncRNA from 1 species
UUGAGCCGUGUGCGGUGACGAGUCGCACGCACGGUUCUGAGGAGGCCGGGGCGCAGCAAUGCGCCCCGGCUACCCGAC